CAGGAAUCUGAGCAUGUGUAAGUUUUCUGGCUUCUACAUUGAGAAGGUAGUACACACAAUGUAGAAAAUACAAAAAUGAAGGCGAAUCUUUGAUGUUGUGUGGCCACUGAAGGAGAAUAUCCACUAUAGGAAGAAAGAAGGAAAGUAAAUAGUAACCAGGGUUCCGUACCCUGAACUGGCAGACAUGGUUAAGCCUUCAGCUUAGUAGGACUGCAACACAGGCUGCUGCAGAUCUGGAAGAUGAGAUGCUGCAGGAUUCUUGUUGACCUCACUAAACUUCUUGACUCUCCGUUUCCUUGUCAAGACAGCUGGGCACUCUUCAGGAUCUGUGGAUACUUCAGGGGUUCACAAUCGCAGUCUAGUCUUUAAGAAGACAUUUGACUUCAUGGUCCAAGAUGGACCACGUUCAGUAUCCACAUUCUGAACAACAAGAUGGAGGAAGAAACAAGAAGAAGCAAAGAGCGCACUUGUGCUGUUUCUAAAAGACUCUCCCAUGAGUUGAAGGGCCAAGAGAAAAACUUGCGUUUCUGUUAAAACUUCAGCAGGCAUUUAUUAUGUCUUCAAUUGUUUUCGUUUUCUUUGCCUUAUGAUAAUCAGGCCAUACUUGGACCUGCUUUGACAUCCUCAUUGAACUUAUGCUUACUAGAGUGGCUCCCCUCAGUUCCCACUCAUUCUGCCUGAGCCAAAUUCCUGUUUCCUAUACCUGCCCACCAUUUGCUUGGCCCCAGGGUUAUGCCUAGCACUUAAAUUCACCACAAACAUCCCUUGAUACCGUACAUCAGAAACAAAAUGUGACCUACAGCAAACCUAAUGAUUAUAAAUUGCUCUUUUCCGAUCCUCCCAUUUUAUUGCUUCCCACUCCCCAAAAAAAGGACUUUAACCAAGUUGCCAAUUCAUCAGCAAUUUAUUUUUUUCCAUAAAGUCACCAAGCUGCC
rnacentral:lncRNA from 10 species